rnacentral:rRNA from 1 species
GGUAAAGGCCUACCAAGACAAUGAUGCAUAGCCGAGUUGAGAGACUGAUCGGCCACAUUGGGACUGAGACCCGGCCCAAAUUCCUACGGGAGGCUGCAGUAGGGAAUCUUCCACAAUGGGCGAAAGCCUGAUGGAGCAACGCCGCGUGUGUGAUGAAGGCUUUCGGGUCGUAAAGCACUGUUGUAUGGGAAGAAAAGUUAAGGUAGGGAAUGACCUUAGCCUGACGGUACCAUACCAGAAAGGGACGGCUAAAUACGUGCCAGCAGCCGCGGUAAUACGUAUGUCCCGAGCGUUAUCCGGAUUUAUUGGGCGUAAAGCGAGCGCAGACGGUUGGUUAAGUCUGAUGUGAAAGCCCGGAGCUCAACUCCGGAAAGGCAUUGGAAACUGGUUAACUUGAGUGCAGUAGAGGUAAGUGGAACUCCAUGUGUAGCGGUGGAAUGCGUAGAUAUAUGGAAGAACACCAGCGGCGAAGGCGGCUUACUGGACUGUAACUGACGUUGAGGCUCGAAAGUGUGGGUAGCAAACAGGAUUAGAUACCCUGGUAGUCCACACCGUAAACGAUGAACACUAGGUGUUAGGAGGUUUCCGCCUCUUAGUGCCGAAGCUAACGCAUUAAGUGUUCCGCCUGGGGAGUACGACCGCAAGGUUGAAACUCAAAGGAAUUGACGGGGACCCGCACAAGCGGUGGAGCAUGUGGUUUAAUUCGAAGCAACGCGAAGAACCUUACCAGGUCUUGACAUCCUUUGAAGCUUUUAGAAAUAGAAGUGUUCUCUUCGGAGACAAAGUGACAGGUGGUGCAUGGUCGUCGUCAGCUCGUGUCGUGAGAUGUUGGGUUAAGUCCCGCAACGAGCGCAACCCUUAUUGUUAGUUGCCAGCAUUCAGAUGGGCACUCUAGCGAGACUGCCGGUGACAAACCGGAGGAAGGCGGGGACGACGUCAGAUCAUCAUGCCCCUUAUGACCUGGGCUACACACGUGCUACAAUGGCGUAUACAACGAGUUGCCAACCUGCGAAGGUGAGCUAAUCUCUUAAAGUACGUCUCAGUUCGGACUGCAGUCUGCAACUCGACUGCACGAAGUCGGAAUCGCUAGUAAUCGCGGAUCAGCACGCCGCGGUGAAUACGUUCCCGGGUCUUGUACACACCGCCCGUCACACCAUGGAAGUUUGUAAUGCCCAAAGCCGGUGGCCUAACCGUAAGGAGGGAACC